AAAACCCGAAGAUAAGAAGUUUUCAAAUCAAACCUAAUAAAAUUCCAGAGAUUACAGGUAAGGGGGUUGGUUACACAGAGGGAAGGUGUUAGCACCCAAAGAGUCCUAGGUACUCCUAGGGAGCCCUUUUUCAUGUGUGUAUGUGUUUUUGGUAUAAAAGAUGUUUGCAACAAAUAGAGUGUGGGGAUGAGAAAAGAAUUCAUUAAUUAUAUUUUUGUAUUUGACAAGACCUUCCGACUUGUGCCUAU
rnacentral:lncRNA from 1 species